rnacentral:pre_miRNA from 1 species
AUAAUACUCCCUCCGUUCGGAAUUACUUGUCACACAAAUGGAUGUAUCUACAACUAAAAUACAUCUAGAUACAUUCAUUUCUUGGACGAGUAAUUCCGAACGGAGGGAAUACAUC